GCGGCGGUGGGGAAGAGACAGAAAUCUUUAAUAAAUAAAUUAGUUAAUAAAAAAAGAGAAAAAUGUGUAAAUGAUUCAAGAUCAUUCUGUGCGGCCCUUAACAGAUGCUUUGUGCCGGGCUCAGUAUUCUCACCGCAUCAGCGCUGAUCUGAAAUGAACUAUUUUCCUCUUCCAAUUCACAAAUAAUCGUGACUGGUGCCAUCUCCACCUAUCUGCAGAGCUACCCUGGAUCACUGGCGUCCACAUGACGGUCCUUUUUGGACCCCUCCCCCACACCAAGCCACUCGGUCCUCAAGCUGAAGCUGACUGCAGAGGGGUGCUGCUCCUGAAGGCGGUCUCCCCACUCCUUAAAAACACCCUUGGUUGGAGAUGGCUCAGCAGAGAGAGCUCACUGCUCUUGCCGAGGACCGGGGAUCAAUUCUCAGCACCCACAUGGCUGCUAACAAUUACCUGUAACUCCCGUUCCAGAGGUUCUGACGCCCUCCUCUGGCCCCUGAGGGCACUGCAUGCAUGUGGUGCACGGACGUACAUGGCAGGCAGAAUAUUCAUACAUACAUACCAAAUAAAAAUAAGUAAAAUGUUUUUGAAAGACGAUAAAAACACCCCCACUGCCUCCCAGCCUCCAGCAUCUAGAGCACUGGCCUCCUUUAACUGUAAGUCCUGAAUCUUUGUAAGGUUCUUGAGAGAACGAGCUACACCCACUCGGCUUCUACAGGAAACGUAGAAUGGAUUCAGCAGUGCCACCCGGACAGUGGAGGUGGGGACACCGAGAGAAAUAAGCCUCAGUAUUGCCCUACAGAAGAACCUAUGCUGGUGGGAGUGUGGGGGAGGGCAGACCACAGGCAGUGAAGUGUGCUGAACAGACAGAUUCGUGAGGAACUGGCAGAGACGAAUCCGGGCACGAGAAAGAUCCUGUAAGCAUACAGGUCCAUGGGGGUGGGGUCAGCGGAGGCAGCAGCCUUCUCUGUGUGGCGUGUAUCUACACUGGGACCCCCUUUCUCUCCAGGGACGGGGCCAGGGUGGACAGAGAUGCCCAGCUGCUUUGCCCAUCAGUCCAGUGGGGGCAUUUUGAUACUGCAGACAAGCAUUGGCCAUCUGGAGUGUCUGAAGAGGAACCAGCCCACAGUGAAAUUACAAAACUCUGGGCAGAAAUAUGGAGCAGAUGGUCUGUGAGACACUAGGGAGAUCCAACAGGGCUGGGUGGUAAGCGGCCAUGAAGGAAGGGGUGGUCAGCUUUGUCAGCAGCUGGGAAGGGUGCUUGGGGCACACAGCCGAGUCGGGCAGGGGUGCGCCUCCACAGUAGGCUUGCUUUAUGUCUCUAUAUGUAUGUUUGCUUGUGGCCACACUAUGCUUUUAUGUCUAUCUGUGUAUGUGUAUUUGCUUCCACAGUAGGGUUGUCUCAUUUCUCUGUAUGUGUGUGUGUUUUAAGAUCUGUAAAACUUUUAACUCCAGGUUACAAUGGCUCUGGAAAGAUACAAACACAUGGGUAACCUCCAUUUUGACCUCACUGCCAUCUUGGGUAAGAGUACCCACAUGUGCUAUUAGUCUUGGAUUUAUUAAAAUAUUCCUUUUAAUCGUCUUACAUUUACUAGCAUUGGUAAGCUGUAACUAACUGGGUAAAAUACAUGUCUAAAUUUAGCUUAUAUGUCUAGUUUAAAUAUAACAGGUAAUGGUGCCCAAUCCUCAAGUGCCUUUACAGAUCUGAGAGUAUGGCAUUUAACAAAAAAGCUUCUACCACAGAGACACGACAGCUCCCGCAGCACCCUAUAGCUCCUCCAAGAAGAUGUGUAGUUGCAAAAGACCUUCUGCCUUGAGGCCUGCCUUUGGGUAUGGCAAAGCCACCCACAAAGCAAAAAGCGGCCUUCCACCCUUCAGCUUCCUGGAUGCUACACCUGGGGGAUCUGAUUGUCUCAUCCUACCAAGGCAGGUAGACUAAAUCCUCCCCCACCACCAUAGGAAAAUCUUCAGGCCUCUUAUACUCAGCAGCUAACAGCAAGCACUGCCUCUAAGGCUGGUGUUCUCCAAGGACUAAGGAGAGACUUGGGACUGCCUGUGUAGCUAAAAAAGCUGUCUCAUUUCUGCUCAUUUAUCCCUCCCAGAUCUGCUAAUGGCAUUUGAUGACUUCAGGUACUGGUAGCUCAUUAUCUCAUUUGUUAAGUUUCCUGUUAAAUACAGACAGGUGUGCCUCUUUAAAAGGCUUCGGAGUCCAGGACUAACAGGUGUAUCUUUAAAAAUUCCCUUUAGUGUUCCUGUAAGAGAAUGUCUUACAGAUACCUACAGGUUCAAAAAAAAAAAAAAAAGUUUCGCUGCUUUAUCAGGAAAUCUGGUCUGGUAAAAACUAACAGUCUCCAGAGCGUGUUUUAACCCCACCCAUUUUACAGGUCACUCCUGCUGUCUGGACCAAGACCAACUUUCAAAGGGCCCUCCAGACAACGCCAAAACCUGCACCAGCUCCUGGGACUUCACCACUGGAUGAAUGUAUUCCCCGGUACGCAAUGAAAGCAGAGAUGCCCACGUCCUCACGCUCUGUAUACACCACUGACGCCUGAAGACAGGGGACAAAGUCCCAGGAUGACGAACAGCGCCUGCACAUUGCAGGUCCACUGAGCCUUUCCCCAGCAACCCAGGUCUUUCAAGGCCAGAUUCGAAAGGUCUUUCUGGACAUCUCCGACAAGAGGAACCACGGGCUUCCUGGAGAAAUGGAUGGCUCGUGGAUUUUUUAAGGGAAAUUUCCAGGUAAGCCCGGAACUUUCUUUGCCAGAUAACAAAGAACAAAGACUAAUAAGUUCAUGUCAGAAGAAUACGGGAGCUGGUCGCAAGGACAGGUUUAGGAUAAUCUGAGUAUCAAAAAUAAAAACAGCGAUAGAUUUCAGCACACUGGAUUUUUUCAAUGGGUCCAUAAUCUCACUGUGGAAAGAGAAAAACGGGUGAGGGGAAACAGGGAGCGAGA